rnacentral:lncRNA from 1 species
CCUGAAUAGUAUAAACGCCUAUAAUGCAAGUUAUAUUACUAAUGCUGGUAUUGUCACUAGCAAAACGAAUAUUUGGGAUUGCAAUAAAAAGAGUUAUGAGCAAUUUGACGUGAUGGUGAGGUUGAUGGAGAAAAAUCCUGACCUAGCCAGAGGAAUGGCCCCGUUUGGCUCCACAAUAAAAAAAUAGGAUAGACUUAUAUUGCUGCUGAAAUAAAUUAUAUCGGCCCUCCAAUACGAAGUGGUAGCGAAUGGAAUAAGGUUUGGUUGGACUACAAAGUAAAAUUAACCCAUUUACAGCCAAUGGUCGACUUGUCGACCAGCAACUUUGAAAAAUCACCGAGUCGAAAAUUAUCGAGAUAUGUCUUGAAGGCAAUAAUUGUGUGUCAACUUGCAUCUUUCUGGUCUUGACAAAAAUUUCUUUUACUAAUUAACUAAUUUUUUUUUUAAUCUUAUCGGAUUUUCGGAACACCCAUUUUUUUUUUUUAAUUUUUUGAAAAAAUUCGGAAAAAAUAGAGACAAUUUUUGAAAAAUAAUGAGGUUUCCUCUAUAUUGUAGUGUUUGUCGCCUACUUUACGCAGAAUGUAUUUUUCAGCAGAUCGGUUGUAGUAUAGAAUAGUAAGGAAUGCACAAAAUUAACUGGUGGAUAAAUCGACCACCGGCCGAAAACGAUACGACAAAUAUUCCACUUUACUAUUUUUGUGUCCUUACAUCUAGGAAGUUAACAUAAUGCAUGCGAGCUUAAAACUAAUGAAUGUAAAUGUUUAUUGUUGUUUCUGUUAUUAUUUAAGAGAAAUUAAUGUAAAGAAAGAUUAAAAGAAAGAUCAAUUAGCAAGUAUGGUAAUUAUCAAGUGAGAAAAACAGAAAUGAGAGAAAAUUGCUAAGUGACCCCUUGGAAUAUUCGUUUGAAUAAGAAAUUCAUGCAGUUUGGCAUAUUCUCACACAAUCUGUCUAUCGAUGAGCAGAUUAUUACUUACUACGACCGUCAAUCUUGCAAAAUGUUUCGAUUUGGCUUCAAAUACUGGGAUUUAUGUUCGUCUGAUGGCUAUUUGUAUUCGUUAAUUCCGUACAGCGGUGUAAAUGAGAAUCGAUAACUCGAAUACAAAAACUGCGGCUUAGGUAAAAUGGUCGUACUAAAGUUUGUGAAACAACUUGACGAUCCACGUGAACAUUGUGUUGCGUUUGACAACUUCUUCACUUCUCAUAAAUUGAUGAGUCACUUCACCUCUUUGGGAUAUUAUGCUAUCGGAUCCAUUCGUGACAAUCGUACGAAUAAAGCGAAACUUACUGACGUGCCAUCAUCUAAGAAGAAAGAACGCGGUUAGACAUUUCAUCAAAAUAAUAAUGUGCUGAUAGUUCGAUGGAACGACAAUUCUGUUGUGACCAUUGCAUCGAAUCAUAAGGAAAUUGAACCACUGCAUAGUGUGAAGCCAUGGAAAGGCGGCAAGAAAUAUUAUGUUGAUAAGACACACAUCGUAAGAGUAUACAAUAAUCGAAUGCGUGUUGUUGAACUCACUAAUAGCAAAUGGAAUUGAUGCUGCAAUGGUGAACGCUUGGAAAAUUCAUUGUGCUAUCGUCAAAUAUGAAAAGAGAAUGUCACGCACCACCGAAAGAUGUAUCGCACAAAAAAUAGAACUAUUAGAUCAAUUACAGUUCCGUAUUUACCUUGCAGAAUCUUUGCUUCGAAUGGCAAUAUCGUCGAUGUCGUCUUCGCAGACGUUGACUCCACAGUCAACAGCUGUUCGAAAAGACAAAGUUGGGCAUGACAUUAAAAAUUAGAGAAGCCUGGUCGUUGUCAAAAUUGUCACAAACAUUCGCUUCAAUCAAUUCCAUGAAAUAUAAUAUAAAGAUAAGAUAUUGAACUUUCAAGAAAAGUUUUUCAAAAC